rnacentral:rRNA from 1 species
CCUGGCUCAGAUUGAACGCUGGCGGCAUGCCUUACACAUGCAAGUCGAACGGCAGCACGGGGGCAACCCUGGUGGCGAGUGGCGAACGGGUGAGUAAUACAUCGGAACGUGUCCUGUAGUGGGGGAUAGCCCGGCGAAAGCCGGAUUAAUACCGCAUACGCUCUACGGAGGAAAGGGGGGGAUCUUAGGACCUCUCGCUACAGGGGCGGCCGAUGGCAGAUUAGCUAGUUGGUGGGGUAAAGGCCUACCAAGGCGACGAUCUGUAGCUGGUCUGAGAGGACGACCAGCCACACUGGGACUGAGACACGGCCCAGACUCCUACGGGAGGCAGCAGUGGGGAAUUUUGGACAAUGGGCGCAAGCCUGAUCCAGCAAUGCCGCGUGUGUGAAGAAGGCCUUCGGGUUGUAAAGCACUUUUGUCCGGAAAGAAAACGCUCUGGUUAAUACCCGGGGCGGAUGACGGUACCGGAA